AUUGAACGCUGGCGGCAUGCUUUACACAUGCAAGUCGAACGGCAGCGCGGGCUUCGGCCUGGCGGCGAGUGGCGAAAGGGUGAGUAAUGCAUCGGAACGUGCCCAGUAGUGGGGGAUCGCCCGGCGAAAGCCGGAUUAAUACCCCAUACGACCUGAGGGCGACAGCGGGGGAGCGAAAGGCCUCGCGCCAUUGGAGCGGCCGAUGUCGGAUUAGCUAGUUGGUGGGGUAAAGGCUUACCAAGGCGACGAUCCGUAGCUGGUCUGAGAGGACGACCAGCCACACUGGGACUGAGACACGGCCCAGACUCCUGCGGGAGGCAGCAGUGGGGAAUUUUGGACAAUGGGGGCAAGCCUGAUCCAGCCAUACCGCGUGCGGGAAGAAGGCCUUCGGGUUGUAAACCGCUUUUGUUCGGGAAGAAAUCCUCUGGGCUAAUACCCCGGGGUGAUGACGGUACCGGAAGAAUAAGCACCGGCUAACUACGUG
rnacentral:rRNA from 1 species